AAGGUAAGCUACUAAGAGCAAAUGGUGGAUGCCUUGGCUAGUAGAGGCGAUGAAAGACGUGCCAGGCUGCGAUAAGUCUCGGGGAGCCGUCAAGGGGCUUUGAUCCGGGAAUUUCUGAAUGGGGCAACCCAGUAUAUAGUGAUAUAUACUACCGCAAUGCGGAGCUAACGUUGGGAAUUGAAACAUCUUAGUACCAACAGGAAAAGAAAUCAAAAGAGAUUACGCUAGUAGCGGCGAGCGAACGCGUAAGAGGGCAAACCGUUAGUUUACUAACGGGGUUGUAGGACUGCAACAUAGACUUAAACAAACUAAUAGAAUAACCUGGAAAGGUUGGCCAUAGAGGGUGAUAGCCCCGUAUAUGAAAGUGCGUUUAUACUUAGCAGUAUCCUGAGUAGGGCGGGACACGUGAAAUCCUGUCUGAAGCUGGGGAGACCACUCUCCAACCCUAAAUACUACUACUAGACCGAUAGUGCACAAGUACCGUGAGGGAAAGGUGAAAAGAACUGAGGUGAUCAGAGUGAAAUAGAACCUGAAACCAUUUGCUUACAAUCAUUCAGAGCACGAUUCUUUAUGACGUGUGAUGGACUGCCUUUUGCAUAAUGAGCCUGCGAGUUGUGG
rnacentral:rRNA from 1 species